rnacentral:lncRNA from 1 species
UGGCGGUCGGGGGUGCUGGUUUGAUUUCCUCUGCAUGCCUGUCUUCCAUCCGCGUUUCAAGAGGGAGUUCAUUCAGGAACCUGCUAAGAAUCGGCCCGGUCCCCAGACACGAUCAGACCUACUGCUGUCAGGAAGGGGUAGGGACCAUCCCAUAUGCCCCUUAAUUAUUAGAGGCAAUAACAACUUCUGCUUUAUCGGGGCCCUCAUUCUCCUCCUUUUCUGACUUGGAUAUAUUUGUUAGUCCCUGGGAUAUAGAUAACUUGUUUUCUCCUUGCUUCUCUAUUCUGCAUCAGGCUAUCCCAUGUCUAUGUAGAAAAAACCUUUGUCUCUCAUUUCUACUCUUGAUUCCCAAAACUAAAAAUUGAACAAGUAAAGUGCUGAACCUUAUUCAGUAUUUGUCUUUCUUGGGUGGGGGAGUGCAGACUGGAAUACGCUAAUUGUGGGAAAGCUUUCUCCAUGGAUUCGUCCAGACUCAAAAGUGGAGAAGAUUCGCAGGAACUCCGAGGCGGCCAUGUUACAGGAGCUGAAUUUUGGUGCAUAUUUGGGUCUUCCAGCUUUCCUGCUGCCCCUUAAUCAGGAAGAUAACACCAACCUGGCCAGAGUUUUGACCAACCACAUCCACACUGGCCAUCACUCUUCCAUG